rnacentral:rRNA from 1 species
UGCCAGACUCCUACGGGAGGCAGCAGUGGGGAAUAUUGCACAAUGGGGGAAACCCUGAUGCAGCGACGCCGCGUGAGCGAUGAAGUAUUUCGGUAUGUAAAGCUCUAUCAGCAGGGAAGAAGAUGACGGUACCUGACUAAGAAGCCCCGGCUAACUACGUGCCAGCAGCCGCGGUAAUACGUAGGGGGCAAGCGUUAUCCGGAUUUACUGGGUGUAAAGGGAGCGUAGACGGCGAUGCAAGCCAGAUGUGAAAGCCCGGGGCUCAACCCCGGGACUGCUCUUGGAACUGCGCGGCUGGAGUGCAGGAGGGGCAGGCGGAAUUCCUGGUGUAGCGGUGAAAUGCGUAGAUAUCAGGAGGAACACCGGUGGCGAAGGCGGCCUGCUGGACUGCGACUGACGUUGAGGCCCGAAAGCGUGGGGAGCAAACAGGAUUAGAUACCCCUGUA